AGUAGAAUCAGCUAAAAAAGCUUUUGGGCCCAUACCCCAAAAAUGCGGGUCAAAACCCCCCUUCUACUA
rnacentral:tRNA from 1 species